rnacentral:rRNA from 1 species
UACGAAGGGGGCUAGCGUUGCUCGGAAUCACUGGGCGUAAAGCGCACGUAGGCGGAUUGCUAAGUCAGGGGUGAAAUCCUGGAGCUCAACUCCAGAACUGCCUUUGAUACUGGGGAUCUCGAGUCCGGAAGAGGUGAGUGGAACUCCGAGUGUAGAGGUGAAAUUCGUAGAUAUUCGGAAGAACACCAGUGGCGAAGGCGGCUCACUGGUCCGGUACUGACGCUGAGGUGCGAAAGCGUGGGGAGCAAACAGG